UACGUAGGCAGCAAGCGUUGUUCGGAAUUACUGGGCGUAAAGAGUGUGUAGGCGGUGCUCUAAGUCUGUUGUGAAAUCUCCCGGCUUAACUGGGAGGGUGCGGCGGAGACUGGAGUGCUAGAGUGUGGGAGAGGUAAGCGGAAUUCCUGGUGUAGCGGUGAAAUGCGUAGAUAUCGCUUGGAACGCCAAAGGUGAAAACAGGUUGCUGGGGGUUGUGCCGACGCUGAGACACGAAAGCCAGGGGAGCAAACGGG
rnacentral:rRNA from 1 species